GACGAACGCUGGCGGCGUGCUUAACACAUGCAAGUCGAGCGGUAAGGCUCCUUCGGGAGUCCACGAGCGGCGAACGGGUGAGUAACACGUGAGUAAUCUGCCCUUCACUUCGGGAUAACCACCGGAAACGGUGGCUAAUACCGAAUACGACCAGUCUUCGCAUGAGGUGCUGGUGGAAAGUCUUUUCGGUGAAGGAUGUGCUCGCGGCCUAUCAGCUUGUUGGUGGGGUAAUGGCCUACCAAGGCUUCGACGGGUAGCCGGCCUGAGAGGGUGACCGGCCACACUGGGACUGAGACACGGCCCAGACUCCUACGGGAGGCAGCAGUGGGGAAUAUUGGACAAUGGGCGAAAGCCUGAUCCAGCAACGCCGCGUGACGGAUGACGGCCAUCGGGUUGUAAACCUCAUUCAGUACCGACGAAGCGCCCUGUCGGGUGGUGACGGUAGGUACAGAAGAAGGACCGGCCAACUACGUG
rnacentral:rRNA from 1 species